GACAGAGGGUGCAAACGUUGCUCGGAAUUACUGGGCGUAAAGCGCGUGUAGGCUGACCGGAAAGUCGGGCGUGAAAGCCCUGGGCUCAACCCAGGAACUGCACUCGAAACUCCCGGUCUAGAGUGGUGGAGAGGGAAGUGGAAUUCCUGGUGUAGAGGUGAAAUUCGUAGAUAUCAGGAGGAACACCAGUGGCGAAGGCGGCUUCCUGGACAACUACUGACGCUGAGACGCGAAAGCGUGGGGAGCAAACAGG
rnacentral:rRNA from 1 species